CCUACGGGGGACAGCAGUGGGGAAUAUUGCGCAAUGGGCGAAAGCCUGACGCAGCGACGCCGCGUGAGGGAUGAAGGUCUUCGGAUCGUAAACCUCUGUCAGCAGGGAAGAACGGUCACUGUGCUAAUCAGCAGUGAAUUGACGGUACCUGCAAAGGAAGCACCGGCUAACUCCGUGCCAGCAGCCGCGGUAAUACGGAGGGUGCGAGCGUUAAUCGGAAUUACUGGGCGUAAAGCGCUCGUAGGCGGUAUGUCAAGUCAAGGGUGAAAUCCCCGGGCUCAACGUGGGAACUGCCUUUGAAACUGGCAGACUGGAGUGUGUGAGAGGAUAGUGGAAUUCCAGGUGUAGGAGUGAAAUCCGUAGAUAUCUGGAGGAACAUCAGUGGCGAAGGCGACUAUCUGGCACAUAACUGACGCUGAGGAGCGAAAGCGUGGGUAGCAAACAGGAUUAGAUACCCUUGUAGUC
rnacentral:rRNA from 1 species